UAGAAGAAGUCAUCAGAAGCAUGGUGAAG
rnacentral:piRNA from 1 species